GAGUAACUGUUCAUCCCUUGACGGUAUCUAACCAGAAAGCCACGGCUAACUACGUGCCAGCAGCCGCGGUAAUACGUAGGUGGCAAGCGUUGUCCGGAUUUAUUGGGCGUAAAGCGAGCGCAGGCGGUUUCUUAAGUCUGAUGUGAAAGCCCCCGGCUCAACCGGGGAGGGUCAUUGGAAACUGGGAGACUUGAGUGCAGAAGAGGAGAGUGGAAUUCCAUGUGUAGCGGUGAAAUGCGUAGAUAUAUGGAGGAACACCAGUGGCGAAGGCGGCUCUCUGGUCUGUAACUGACGCUGAGGCUCGAAAGCGUGGGGAGC
rnacentral:rRNA from 1 species